rnacentral:rRNA from 1 species
UAAUACCAGCUCUCCGAGUGGUAGGGACAAUUAUUGGGCUUAAAGCGUCCGUAGCCGGCUUGGCAAGUCUCCUGUUAAAUUCAGCGACCUAAUCGUUGAGCCGCGGGAGAUACUAUUAGGCUAGGAGGCGGGAGAGGCCGACGGUAUUCCCGGGGUAGGGGUGAAAUCCUAUAAUCCCGGGAGGACCACCAGUGGCGAAGGCUGUCGGCUAGAACGCGCUAGACGGUGAGGGGCGAAAGCUGGGGGAGCGAACCGGAUUAGAUACCCGGGUAGUCCCAGCUGUAAACGAUGCGGGCUAGGUGUUGAGGUGGCUACGAGCCACUUCAGUGCCGCAGGGAAGCCAUUAAGCCCGCCGCCUGGGGAGUACGGCCGCAAGGCUG